UUAGUUAAAAAUGUAAAAAAAAAUAUAAUUUUAUAUAUACUCAGAAGUCAUUUAAAUGUGAACUGAAUCCUUUAAAAUUUUAAAUUCCUCAAUUUUGAAGUUAACUUCUACAUUACAUUUUUAAAAUUUAUAUCUAAUAAUCUAAAUUAUCUGAAAACUAUGAACCAAAUACCUAGAAAUAACAACUUAAUGAUAAUAACAAAAUACAUAUAAUGCCAUAAUGGUAGAGGAUGCAUGUGUCACAAAGAAAAAAGAAAACAAAGUCGGGAACAAAAAAAGAGAAGAUAAAAGCAAGAUACUUUAGUGAAAUUUUCUCAUUGGUCUAUUUCUUUUGACAAGAAUAACUGUCUUAACCAUUGAUCAAUUUGAUCUAAUGGCUCAUAUUACUUCCUUCCUUUUUCUCUCGUUCUCCCAUGUACCUUUUCCUCUGUAAACAAGUAUUUCUCUUUCUUCUACAAACGAUUCUCUUCCUCUUAACACAAACAAAUCGAUUUCAUCUAUUCUGGUCACCUAAUUCCUUUCUUCUACUCCACUCACAUAAUCUUUUCAGCAACCACUAUCGUAUUUUAUCAAACCGAAUCUCUUCCUUCUGCCAUCACCAGAUCUCCUUCACUGUCUACCAAAUCUACUCCUACGAUACGAUGUUGUUGUUGCGCCUGAGACUGGUGUGAGAUGCAGUUAUCGUCGGAGUUGUUCUUGCACACGGAGAUUCGAUGUUUGGCAUCAGAUCUAGAUCGUACAAACAUCUCGGCUCACCGAUCUGGUAUGGAGACAAUCUGGAUGAGACAUUCCGCAUGUAGUGACGAGGCGGAGGAGUGACGAACCAGAGGCAAGGUGUGACGAACUGGAGGCUGAAGCGGAGGCGUGACGAACCGCAGGCAGAGGCGCGACUAACCGAAUGCAGAGGCGUGACGAAUUGAGGCAGUGAUGUGACAAACCAGAGGCUGAGGCGGAGCUGUGCCAGCGAAGUUAAAUCUCCAGUCAAGCUCACGCUUGUGUAUAUGUGUGUAUAUAUGUUAUAUGUAUGAUAUAUAAAUAUGUAUAAGACACCAUAUAUACGAAAAACAUAUUUGUAUUGUUUUUUAAUUCAUUAAUUCUUAAUUUACUAAUUAUUUUUUUUUUAUUUUUUUUUAAUAAAUAGUUACGGAAUAGUCACAAACAUUAAGCGUGACAAAUAUAAACCACGAAAAAUAACAGUGUCAAAAACGUGACUGUUUUAUACACAUUUAGUCAUGGUAAAUUUUGGUCACGAUCGUAUACACACGAAAUUU
rnacentral:lncRNA from 1 species